rnacentral:rRNA from 1 species
UACGUAGGGUGCAAGCGUUGUCCGGAAUUAUUGGGCGUAAAGAGCUCGUAGGCGGUCUGUCACGUCGGAUGUGAAAACUCGGGGCUCAACCCCGAGCCUGCAUUCGAUACGGGCAGACUUGAGUUCGGCAGGGGAGACUGGAAUUCCUGGUGUAGCGGUGAAAUGCGCAGAUAUCAGGAGGAACACCGGUGGCGAAGGCGGGUCUCUGGGCCGAUACUGACGCUGAGGAGCGAAAGCGUGGGGAGCGAACAGG